GGUUUGCAGGUGCAGUGGAGAAAACAGAAACCCAGAGAGAGAUCUGAUGGUCAUCAGUAUAAGUGAGCUAAUUGAGGAUGUCAAGAUUGGAGGCAUGCUGGACUGCAGUAAUCAUUCACUGGUGGAACCUGCAAUCCUGAGCAUAUGGAUUAGGUCACUGGCUUGAAUUCUGGAAACAAGAUAUUCAUGAGGGACCUGCGUGGGGAAUUUACAUCUCAGUGCAGAGUUUUCCUCUCCAUUUGUCAACAUACGAGAAACAAAUAAGGAGUAACUUCUCUAUACCACUCUCAAGUGGCUUUUAGAGCUCUGAAGACAACUCAACAUAUUAAUGGUUUGAUAUUUAUAAGAUUGUUCUUCUGAAGGAUCAGCAAGAUAAACAGAAGAUGAAAUGCAAAUAUCU